rnacentral:sRNA from 1 species
AUGGAAGAUGCAUGGCUUGAGCAUCUACAUGGUUCUUGAGAAGCAGAAUGAGGAUGGAGAGUGAAGGCUGAGCUCCUCCUCAAGAAGUAUUCAGUUCCGUGGUGCCUUUCCUGACCUCCCUGGUGGUCAGCUGAGGUAUGCACAAACCGGCAAGUCACAAGACGGCAAUGGCAGACUCCAUUAGGAGUCCU